ensembl:lncRNA
AAAGGUAUGUGCUGAAUUACAACCUGUCAUGCCUCUAUAUAUUGUAUGUAGUGUGUGUGUGUAUACAUGUUCCUAUAGUUACUCAUUAUAAAACAUUCCUUUUAGUGUCAUCACACACACACACACACACACGGCUUUAUAUGAUUGCUGCUGUAAAUAUGUUUGUGCUUCAUUUUUUUAAAAUAAUUUAUCUGAUGUGUUCUUUUUUUGGUUUGUUUGUUUUUUUUAGACAGAUAAGAACCUGAUAAAUAAAUAUAUAUUUAAAAAUCAUUUUAAAGGAGGAAGGUGUCUGUGAGAGCUGAGUGUGUUCUCUGCGUGCUGCGCAGUUAAUCUGAAUAAAUUUGCAUUUAUUCAAGCGUUUGAGUUUCUUCGAACGUCUCGUCACUGGAGAGGACCGAAACCGACAGGAGACGGAGUGUAUGAGGAAAUACAAAAAGCUCGUUUGCCUCGCACCGUUGUGGGUUCGAGUCCCGCCUCCACCCCGUGUGUGCUCUCCGCAUGUUUCGGAUGUUUCCUCCGGAUAUUCCAGUUUCCUCCUCCAGUCCAAAGACAUGCGUUGUAGGCUGAUCAGCAUUUCCAGAUUACCCGUAGUGUCCUGCGAUGGUUGGCACGCCGUCCAGGGUGUCCCCCGCCUUGUACCCCGAGUUCCCCGGGCCAGACUCCAGACCCCGUGACCCUGUGUAGGAUAAGCGCUACACAAAAUGGAGGGAUGUUACAGUUAAUGCUGUGAGAGGCUAUUUCCUAUUCACACUUGCGUUGUUUGCUAUAACGUAAGUGAGAACAGGAGCUAACUGGUUACCACAUUAAAUGUAACUGUAAUGUACAACCCCAAUUCCAAAAAAGUUGGGACGCUGUGUAAAAUAAAGACGGAAUGCAAUGAUUUGCGAACCUCAUAAACCCGUAUGUUAUUCACAACAGAACAUAGAAAACAUUUCAAAUGUUUAAACUGAGGAUAUGUACCAUUUUACGUGGGUGUGUGCGUGGGGGUCAUUUUGAAUUCGGUGGCCGCGACGUGUCUCAAAAUAGUUGGGACAGGGACAACAUAAGUCUGGAAAAUUAAAGGUUACUAAAAAGAAACAGCUGGAGGAACAUUUUAUUUAACUAAUUAAGUUAAUUGGCAGCAGGUCAGUAAGAUGAUUGGGGAUAAAAGAGGAUCUUAGAGAGCUGGAGUCUCUCAGAAGUAAAGAUGGGAUGGAAUCUGGAUGGAAGCAGAUGUUGCUCUAAAACCUGUAUACACCUUUCAGCACUGAUGGUGCCUUUCCAGAUGUGCAAGCUGCCCGUUCCAUGGGCACUAAUGCACCCCCGUACCAUCAGAGAUGCAGGCUUUUGAACUAAGCGCUGAUAAAAAGCCGGAUGGUCCCUCUCCUCUUUAGUCCUCUUUAGUUUAGAGGACGUGGUGUCCAUGGUUUCCAAAAAGAAUUUCAAAUUUGGAUUCAUCUGACCACAGAACAGCUUCCCACGUUCCCUCGGUCCAUUUUAAAUGAGCUUUGGCUGAGAGAAGACUGCGGUGUUUCUGGAUCACGUUCACAUACGGCUUCUUCUGUGCAUGAUAGAGCUGUAACCAGUGUUUGUGGAUGUCACGGAGAACUGUGUUCACAGACGAUGAGUUCUGGAGGUGUUUCUGAUCCCAUGCAGUGAUUCCCAUUACAGAAUCAGGACUGAUUUUAAUGCAGUGCCGCCUGAGGGCCCAAAGAUCACGGCCAUGUAAUACUGAUUUUCACCCUCGUCCCUUACACGCAGUUUUCUCCAGAUCCUCUGAAUCUUUUGAUGAUAUCAUCUUCUACAGUACAUAAUAUUUACGUUGAGGAACAUUAUUCUGAAAUUGUUCCAGAAAUUAUAGACACAGUUUUUCGCAGAUUGGUG